ACAAAGAAUUGUGUGAUUAAACUUUUUGUCAUGGUGUGUGUGUGUGUGUGUGUGUGUGUGUGUGUGUGUGUGUGUGUGUGUGUGUGUGUGUGUCAUGUAUGUGCGUGUAUGUGCUGCCAUCUGUAUAUUAUAUUCAUAACAUUCAGUUUGAAUACUCAGUAUUCAUCAUCCUCAACACUUGUUGUUCUCUUGACUCCGAGGCUCCGUUCGACAGUCUAAGCUGAGAGGAGGCGAACAGGUUAUGUUCUGUUCGCGUUUCUCCCGUUUGAUUUCCGUCUGACUGGCUGAUUAAUAACUGUCAGGUCCUUUUUGGGGCUGGAGAUCUUCUGGAAGGGAAAGCGACGCAGAAGGCAGGAUGAACUAUAGUGAUUUCAGCUUAUGAUUGGAGACAUCCAGGGCAAUCAUUCAAACCAUGACAUCAUUGUUGCCGAUUUAUGAGGACGAACAUUUAGCUCACAGGGAGAGUGGUUUGGACGAACCGAUGCAGCAUCGGUUCACCAUUCUAUACAUAGAAAGCAGGCUAAGUACAUUCAAUAUUAUUAAACUGAAAGUGCAUUUUUUAUUUGAUUGCAUCAUUAAAUCUUAAAAGGUGCGGCGGGAAAUUUGAAUCAAUAAUGAAAUAACACUGAGUAUUCCUGAUUAAACCCUUAAGGAUCCAAUCAUCAGGCAUGUUGUCUCUAAAGGUAUGCUUUAACAGCUAUUACCGAAGUAGCCCAUUAUUGGUCCAAAAGUAGAAACAACAUUGACCAUGUAUGUUUACAAAGGAAAGAUGAUGAUGGCUGCCUGAAAGAAAGGCAGGAUGUAAAUUGUGUCCCAAUACAUAUCUGAAGGACAUUUCCUGAGGCCAUGAAAGAGUGAUGCCGCCCUCAAUUUAGAAAGGAUACUUGUUUGAAAGUCCCUGUCUAAAUUUAAUUUGGUGAAACGCUAUGGACAGGUUUGCUGACUUCAAACUUGUAAAAAAAACAAAAUGUGAUAAAAAUAACAAACAGAACUUGAUCAAAUAUACGUUAGCAUUUAUGUUUGAACUAUGGGUCCUCGGCAGCCAAAGUAAAUGUGGACAAAUUGUUUGAAGGGGGGGGAUCCAGGUGGCAAAAUGGCCUGUGACUGACUGCUUAGAGAUUCAACAGAGGGACAAACAGCCUGUGUUUACCUCCUGGCUCAAAAGCACGCAGAAUGACUAAUAGUCAGGAGAUGAGUUUCAGCCACGUCCCACGCGGGGUCAAUGAGGGUUGGGCAAUUUUUCGGAUAGAAUUGUAGAUCCCGGUUGUGUAAACUAAUGAUGGUGUCGCUAUCUGUACCAAGUCAAAACACGACUUGCGUUAGAAGAUGUAUUCCACGCUUGUUUUUCACACCUAUAAAUGGAUCUAACUGCCAUGGAUCUGGGGUACCGCCGACUGUCCACUGCUGUCGUUUGAUGCUAAAUGUGAUCUAUCGUUAGCUCGCUAUCAGUGGGACGUGCUUGAGCAUGAGGUACGAGCAUAUGAUAAUGAAGACGCUAAAAUGGCCGCUAGCUAGCGCAAACACCGCGACUGAGCUAGAAGAAAAAAUGGAAAGCGGCUGUGCCUGUCUGGGGGACAGGGACAUACAUCUGGUUGCAGACAUUCAGAGUAGAAUGAUAUUUAUGUUGGAAAACUCGCUUUAUUCUCCAACAUGCGCAACAGGCUGCAUGAAUGUUGCGUGUGUCAGAGAAUACAGGAAGAAAUUAACGAAUGACCUUUAACAUACAUGACAUUUGAUCUGUUGACUUAAAUCCUAAAUUUAAUGCCAGAUCGAAACCCCAUGGAAUGAGUAAGGUGAAAUGCCUGGCCUGAUUUUGGGUUGAGUUGCUUUUUAUUAAGGGUUGAAAUGUAAACCAUGAAGUUUUGGGUCGAGGUUUCACAUUGGUUUUUUUAUGAAUGUCCCCAAACCCUAGGGGCAAUACUCUUUUGUAAAGCUAUCUUCUUCCGAUAGCAUUUGUUCUUGGUUCCUUGAUUUAGAGGGGAAAUAGCGUUAGACCUUCCAUAGAUAAGCAGGUGUUUGUCUUCAUAGGUUUUCUCUUUUGAAGAGACUAUCAAACCUAGUAUCAAACCUAUAAAAUCAAUAUAAAUGAAAAUAUCGUCCAUUUCUGUUUAGUUGUCGCUUUCGUCUUCAACAUAAUGCUUUAAUUAAUGCAGGCUUGCUAAGCAACAUCUAUUUAAUGAUGAAUGGAGUUGUUAUGGCCCAUUACUGAUUAAGGGAAUUGAUGGACGGCAGGGAAACAAAGAUGAUCUCAACAAAUAACAUUCAGCGGAUAGACGUGUGUGAUAACCAGACCGGUAAGAGAUAGGAUUACGCUCUGCAGGGUUGUGGGUUGAAAGGAAUAUUAACAAUGCGUCUUUAUUCGGAUCGUCAUCAUCUUCAUCAUCAUCAUCGGCAACACACACUCCCUGGUGAUAUUUUCCAGUUGGCUGUCGUCAUGAAUUCAUCCUGCCUGUAGUCCAUAUCCUGCAUGACUACUUGUUCCCAUUGUGAGCAGGGGAGACAAACAAAUAGACAGAGCUCAGACAGAAUGUUUUUUUUCCCAGUAAUAGGUCUCGUUACGCACGUCGAUUACGGCGCCCUUUGCCCCCUCUCACCGUCCUUGGAUAGAAGGAUCAUCCGCUCUGCGUUCCUUCUCCGGGUUUCUUCCUUGCUAAUAAAGUUGUGUCUUGCCCUUUUGGGUGGCUAGGGUUAGGCAUGGUCUUGACUAUAUGGCCGGUUCAACCCCUUGAGACUGUAAGGGCUAUACAAAUACAAUCAACCCCUUUGUUUGUUCCUGUGUUUCCUGAUGAUGUCAUGAGUCCUUUAGCGCAAUGAAAAAAAAACUCAUGCGCCGCUCUUUUCUUCACUACUCGUAUUCAUUCGUUCCCCCUCUUCACCCGGAAUGUUCCUCUCCCUCACAGCCUAUCCCUGUUCAUCAAAGCACAACUCCCCAGUGCUGCUUAUUUAGUUGAUGUCACAUUGAUUUACACACAUGCACGCACACACGUACACGCGCACGCACACACACACACACACACACACACACACAUACAGAGACAUGUAUGUGUGUAUAGAGACAUACACACUGCGAGGCCCUCUUCAUAAGCCAGUGACCUACUCCGACAUCCUUAUUUUUAGCUGCACAACGGACAAACCAUAGAGGGGAUAACGCAUCAUCCCCUUUCCCAAUUCCCGUGAGUACAGCAUCAGUGAUGGAUGGGUCCCCCUAAGAUGAUGGAUAACUGUGAGCAAGGCUCCGGUGACUGCAGGGAUACAGCGCCUGAAUUGACCAUAGCUGGCAAACACUGGGUGGAGCCUUUAAACGGACACGUUUCUUGUGGCUUAUGAGGGACAGUUUCAGUGUUACAUGUGCACGGCAAUAGAAUUUGGUUCGUGAGUGGGAUCUCUGCCAUGGCAUUUUGUCAGCAGUGGAUCAGAGGGAGUUGUAGGGUAGUUCAUUCAUAGAAGAGAUGGAAAGAGCGAAGCCAAUUGGUAGCUCUGGAAACACACUCGGGCGUACACAGCACCACACACAGGGCUGUGUACGUCCAUAGAGGUAUUGCAUAACCGCACUCGGGGAUCAGCGUCUCAGGGACUGAACAGAGAGACGUCCAGAGGCGUUAACGACUGGGAACAUUCCCUGUGGUUUCUGCAUGUACGUGCAUGUCAUUAAGAGUCUCACACACGGUUUAUAUACUGUAUGUGCACAUACAGUACACACUAUCAAGUACAACACACAUACACACAAACACACACACACACACACACACUGACGCCAACGCUGCCAACAUAAACCUUCUCAUGUGUGCACACUGGUCCCUGCCCUGUUAGACGAAUGGGUGUUUACAUCCCCCACACACAUACACAAGCACGCAGGCCCGCGCGCGCAUUCACUUAACAUACACACGCACGCACGCAUGCAUUCCCACACAUUCACACGCAUUAAGUUGACAUACACAAGUGUGUCUACAGAAUGAGACACUCAUGUGAAUGUACAGUGUCACAUGUCCAUCCGACCUUCAGGGUAAUCACAUCCAUCCCUUGACAUGGUUAAUUAGUUGGAGGACUUCCUCAACCCCGGGGCAAGCCAACAGUGCCUGGCUUCCAAUUUUCUCCAACCCAACCCCUGGUUUCUCUCUGAGAAGUUCUGCCCAGGAGUCCAGUCAACCCCAACGUAACCUUUCUCUGACCUCUGACAUCUGGCCUCUCUAUUUAUACAUACGCUGUUAUGAGUAUCAGCACAACGACAGGACAAAGCCAAAUUCUUGUUUCAAAACCGACAGGGUAAACACCAUACCUUCUCUCUCUCCGUGUGUGUGUGUCUCUCUCUCUCUCUCUCUCUCUCUCUCUCUCUCUCUCUCUCUCUCUCUCUCUCUCUCUCUCUCUCUCUCUCUCUCUCUCUCUCUCUCCCCCGCUCCCUCUCUUCUCUCUCAUGUAACCUUUUAGUCGAUUCUCCCAGGUCCUCUUAGCACAGGGUGAUGGUUUGGAGGCAUCCUGCUUCCAGCCAGCAAGUCUGGCAUUUGAAGGUCACGGAGGGAGGGAGGGAGAGAGAGAGAGAGAGGGAGGGGAAGGGAGAGGGAUACUUUUUACUUUCACAUUUUUUUUUAUUACGUUUUUUCUGGUGUUAUAAAAUCGAAUUGAUGGCAAUGUCAGCAAAGUAAUUCGGAAAAGCCUCUUCCAACCAUAUUGAUCUUGUGUCCUAGUGUGUGUUAGUCCUCCACAGACAGACAAGGUCUAAAUGCCACACUACUCUAGUUAGUGAACAUUACGAAACAAGACAUAGGUUUUUUGUGUUUAAACGUACAAAUUUGUGUGGGUCUGCUUUUGACGAAAAACGUUGUUCUUAAUCAAAAGCUGUUGUCAGGCUCCCUGAUGGUUUCAAGGCAUGAAACAAAGAAAAGGUGCCGAUAGAUUAUGGAUAUGGAAGCAGGAGAAAUGAAUCGUUCCUCUGUUUUUACACAGCAGCAUUGGAAUAGGAACCACAGUUCACAACUAAUGAAUGGCAAAGCGUUUAGUCUUGGGUUACAUUGAUGACUAUUAGUUUGGCUGGUCAGAGGAACAUGCAAUACCUAAGGUAUGCUAGCUGAAAACGUUUAUAUAGCCUGGCCUGGAUCAGGAUCGAAGCUUUAGUUCACAAUACAAUGUCUAGCCAAUGUUUCAUUCACUAAUGCUGUUAUAGCUUUAAGUGUACAUGUGAUUUUUAAAUAUUGUUUUAAUGCAUAUGCAUAUCUUUGAGUGUCGAAAAGCGUCUUUGAGUGUCUAGAAAAGUGCUAAAAAAUUCAAUCCAUUAUUAUUAUUAUCUUAUCGCCCAUUCCUCUCCUCAACUCUUUUUUGGACAUUAUCAUUACCUCACCAUCACCCAACACCUCUUGCUAAUUUUCUUCCUCUUCCCUGCUUUGAAGUCAUUUCAUGGCAGUUUUAUUUUAAACUGCUGCUUUUACGGAUGUGUGUGUGUGUGUGUGUGUGUGUGUGUGUGUGUGUGUGUGUGUGUGUGUGUGUGUGUGUGUGUGUGUGUGUGUGUGUGUGUGUGUGUGUGUGUGUGUGUGUGUGUGUGUGCUGUAUCUCUCAAAGUGUGCAUAGGUAAAAGGAGUCCAUCCCUCAAACAAAUGUCUGUGCACCUUUGCAGUCUGUAUUUACAUGUGCACUCCUGUGUGUAGGUCAGCAUAGAAAGCAAUCCUUGACAUCCAGCACUGCUGGUUUGCUGCCGGCACUGCUGUUCCUGUAAUGGCCUCUCACAAUUGCCAGCAAUUUCAGCCCCUGCCUUUCUCCUCCGCCAUUAUGUCCUGAUUUCCUCUGACAGCCUUUCUUUGCUCCUGUCACUUGUCACAGUUCGGUCCGUGUUGACCACCACCGUGCAAUAUAAGAUUUGCUCUGCUGGAUCCUCACCUCGCCACCACUUAAAUGUUAUACACAAACGGGUCGCCGUUUAUCUCAAUAUCCCUUCCACGGAAACAAUCCAGCAAGCCAAACACCCAGCACAUACCCACCGAGAUAAGCCGUAACAAGAGUGUGUCGAAAGAACCACAGCGGAUGGGCUUCUGUGUGUUGUGCAACCAGAAGCAACUAAUGGCACAGGACCUUCUAGCAGGUAUUUAUAGAACGUUUAGAACAAAGUAUCCGUCAACCUUUAACAGAGGGGUACUUUGUGAGCGUUGUCUCUUGAAAGGAGAACCAAAACCCACCACCACUGGUACACUGGUUUGCAAACCCAAAACCAAGCAAACCUGCUGAUUGGGUGCAGAUGCUACACACUUUUCUUACGCUUUUGAAACUGGACGUUGCUUACAGAGGGAGCCCGCAGCCCUGCCCCGCAAUAAACAGAACCCUGAGAACCUUCUUACAAAAGGCCGGGUCAAAGGGAUUUUGUUUUUCUUAAAAAAUAAUGACAUGUGCAGUACCCAAGCAGGCCACCACGCCAUUCCUGCUGCAAAGAGUGCACCUCCCCAGCCACCUCAUGCGUGAGAGACGAUGAGAGAGCUUUGCAUCAUACUCAUUUCAUAUUCAAAGCUAAACUCGUCCCUCUGUCACACGGCACAUUUGACGCAUCCAUUAUUCACUCGCACGCGAAGGUGAGUUCCGACACAUGUCCAGCCCAUCAAAUGGUACAAAACGUGCAACCUAUAAAAUAAAAAUUCUUAAAAAAAAAUGGGAUCACGUGUGUCAAUAUCGACAUGAAAGUGGCGUAUCAAAAAGACGACAUUGCGAUCCGAUCUUUCAUGGUGGAUCGGCGGCUGUAGGGCCCACACGGUGACGCAGCGAGGUCAACGGAAGGUUCCGGAUGUCCGUAGGGACUGUAGGUUGCGCUUGAUGUCGUUCCCCUGCUCUUUACGGCUCUCCGUGCGCCUCCAGCUCCGGCUAACCGCUCUGGUCCUCCGCUAACAGGCCUAAUUGCAACACACUUUUCCCAGGCCCCCCCGAUGUUGACGCUGCUCCAGACAUCUGCUCCAGUGCGAUGACUCGGACGAGGAGACGUACGUGUGAAAGGGGGGCAGCGAACGGGGAGAGUGGGCGAAGGGUUUGUUCCUGGAGAUUGACUCAAUAUAUUCUGGGGUAUUAGCUGCAGGAGAGGGGCCCUUGCUGCUGCUAAAAUAAAUGAAGACGUAGCGAAACGAUGUACACCAUCCCAAAAGUAUCUCUCUCUCUCACACACACACACACACACACACACGCACACACACACACACACACACACACACACACACACACACACACACACACACACACACACACACAC